rnacentral:rRNA from 1 species
UACAGAGGGUGCGAGCGUUAAUCGGAAUUACUGGGCGUAAAGCGUGCGUAGAUGGUUAUGUAAGUCGGAUGUGAAAGCCCCGGGCUCAACCUGGGAAUUGCAUUCGAGACUGCAUAGCUAGGAUGCGGAAGAGGGAAGCGGAAUUUCCGGUGUAGCGGUGAAAUGCGUAGAUAUCGGAAGGAACACCAGUGGCGAAAGCGGCUUCCUGGUCCAGCAUCGACGUUCAGGCACGAAAGCGUGGGGAGCAAGCAGG